AUAUUGCACAAUGGGGGAAACCCUGAUGCAGCGACGCCGCGUGAGUGAAGAAGUAUUUCGGUAUGUAAAGCUCUCUCAGGAGGGAAGAAAGAAAUGACGGUACCUGACUAAGAAGCCCCGGCUAACUACGUGCCAGCAGCCGCGGUCAUACGUAGGGGGCAAGCGUUAUCCGGAUUUACUGGGCGGAAAGGGAGCGCAGGCGGCACGGCAAGUCUGGUGUGAAAGCCCGGGGCCCAACCCCGGGACUGCAUUGGAAACUGCCGGGCUGGAGUGCCGGAGGGGUAAGCGGAAUUCCUGGUGUAGCGGUGAAAUGCGCAGAUAUCAGGAAGAACACCGGUGGCGGAGGCGGCUUACUGGACGGCAACUGACGCUGAGGCUCGAAAGCGUGGGGAGCAAACAGG
rnacentral:rRNA from 1 species